GGGACUCUGCAACUCUUGAUGGCUGGCUGCUUUGGGUUUUGUUCUGGAAAGAGGGCUGACACCAGAGGUAUUUUUCGAAGUUUUUCUGUGAAGCAAUUGUUAUAAUUUGUUUAGAUGUUUGGAGGUUGGAAUGUCUCAACACUUACACUUUUCUCUCUCCUUUGACUUUGAGGCGUGUUGUAAUUUGCUCAGAUGGUGGAUCUACGUUUGCAGAACCAAAUCGAAAUCCAGAUCCUACUCAUCAUCACACUACUCCUCCUUUGAAUUUCUCAGAUGUUGGAUCUACUUUACCAGAACCAAAUCCACCUGAGUUAAGGAAAUAUGAGUAUGAGGACCUAUCUGAGGCAACCGAAAAUUUCAGAAACAAGAAAAUGCUUGGCUCGGGUGGAUUUGGUGAUGUCUUCGAGGGAUUUUUAGAUGGUGAAGCCGUUGCUAUCAAGAAGUUUAAGUAUGCAAGUGACGAAAAGCCACCAGAUAAAAUAGAGGAGAUGGAUUAUCUUAUAAGAGUGAGUCACCCAAAUGUUGUUAAGCUGAUUGGCUACUGCGAUGAUGGCCUCGAUAAAUUGCUUGUCUUAGAGCUUGUUCCCAAUAAGACAUUGAGACAUCAUUUAAAUAAUGGAAAAGAGAACGUUUUGAAUUGGCCAAGAAGAAGGAAUAUUGCCAUAAAAGCUGCACGUGGAUUACAAUAUCUCCACGAAUGGAAUAUUAUACACCGAGAUAUUAAGACAAAUAAUAUUCUUCUUGAUAAUGAUUUUGAACCAAAGGUUACAGAUUUUUCAAUUUCCAAGUUUUUGCCAAAUAUUGAUGACAUUAGUCAUAUCACCAGUAAAUUGAAGGGAACUAACGUGCAGAAUCUCGGAUUAAAGAAGCUUUGAACAAUAAAAACUAUACAGAUUUUGUUGAUUCCGAAUUGAAAGAGGACUACAAUGAAAGGCAAAUGCGAGCAAUGAUUUUUUGUGCUAGAGCUUGCAUAUAUGAGCCUUCACACUCUCGACCAAACAUGGAAGAGAUAAUUAAAAUUCUUGAAGAAAUUGACUAUGAGAAGAGGACACCUUUUCCCGUUGGCGCUCCUAUUGAUCUCCAAUCUACCCUUGACAUUGAGAGCAUACAUAUUACUCCGCGCGCACAUAUUACUCCGCCAAUAAUGUUUGAAUUUAGACAACUAGCAGAGGCAACUGAAAGUUUCGAUCACAAAAACUUGAUUGGCAUGGGAAAAUUUUAUAAAGGAUCCCUUAUAAAUGAUGAGAGGAUCUAUGCAAUUAAAAAGCUUGAAUAUCUGGGCGAAUCAAGUAAAGAUGAAGAUGAAUUUAUGGAAAAGAUUAGGGCCAUUAGUGGCAUUUGUCACCGGCAUAUUGUCAAGCUGAUUGGAUAUUGCAUUGAAGAAUCCAAUAGAUUGCUUGUUUAUGAGUUUUUACCUAACAACUCCUUGCUGUCUCAAUUACAUGG
rnacentral:misc_RNA from 1 species